CUCUUUUCAGAGAUGACCUUGCCUUCAAGGAACUUAGACUUUCUUGGGGCUCCACCAGCCAUGCUGUGGCCACAACACCAGGCUAGAAUUUGCAGUGGCUUUAAUCGCUUCAACCACUCACUGUCAUCUUAGAAGAGUCAGUUUGGUUACGAAUCACAGAGAAGAUUUGAAACACGCAUAGGUCGUUUGUACAGUACUUGACACUAGUGUUUGUCAGCGUCAUUUAAUACACCAGACUACUAUGGAUCAAGAGACAGAAGGCUGCAUGCAGUUGAAAUUAUCAUUUCUUUAAGUUGAAGCUAACCAGGAAAGGAGCCAAUCCAGUCCUAGAUCCAGAUGCAAUCUUUUCCACAAGACCCUCAAGAGAAGAUCAAGUCAUUCUUCUUUAGAUAUUCAACACCAAACUGACCUAUCACAUAAUCUGUAAUAGCUCCGGGGUCUUUCAUUGUACCAUAAUUUCUUUCACCAACACCUAGUUGAUGGACAUUAGGAUUGUCUGGAGUUAUUAACUAGUUUAAACAA